rnacentral:lncRNA from 1 species
GACAAAUGAUUUCUUUUCUGAAUCUUCAAGUUCAUCGAAUAUCCUUUCGAUUUUGAUUCAAGAUUAUCGAAAAUUUUGAGAUUCAAAAUUCUUCUCCCAGUUCAUUGAAGAUCCUUUCAAUUUUGAUUCAAAAUUGUUGAAAAUUUUGAGUUUCAAAAUUAUUCUCCUAGUUCAUUGGAGAUCAUUUUAAUUUUGAUUCAAAAUUAUCAAAUCAUGAAGAUCCUUUCAAUUUAAAUUAAUA